AGGGAGGAAAAAGGAGGGAGAGCAUCAGGAUAAAUAGCUAAUGCAUUUGGGGCUUUAAACCUAGGCGAUGGGUUGAUAGGUGCAGCAGAUCAUCAUGGCACAAGUUUGCAUAUGUAACAAACCUGUACAAUCUGCACAUAUAUCCCAGAACAUAAAAUAUUUUUAAAAAUUGGGUCUUUGUAGAUUAUCAAGUUCAGAUCGUUCAUUAGAGUGAUCCCUAAUCCAAUAAGACUAUUUUUUAUAAAAGAAGGACAAUUUUGACACAGAUAUAGGCAGGUAUACGAGGAGAACACCAAGUGAACAUGAAGGCAGAGAUGAGGUGAUACAUUUGCAAGGCAGAGUGCCAAAGUUGUCAGCAAACCACUAAAAACUAGGAGAGGGGCAUGGAGCAGAUUCUCCUUCAAAGCCCUCAGAAGGAGCUAAGGUUGCCGACACCUUUAUCUCGAACUUUUAGCGGCUAGAAAUUGAGACACAAAUUUCUGUUUAAACCAUUCAGUUUGUGAUACUUUGUUGCAGUAACCCUAGCAAAUGAAUACAGAACCACUUAA